UACGUAGGGGGCAAGCGUUGUCCGGAAUCAUUGGGCGUAAAGAGCGUGUAGGCGGCUCGGUAAGUCGAAUGUGAAAGCCCCCGGCUCAACUGGGGAGGGUCAUUCGAUACUGAUCGACUUGAAGGCAGGAGAGGGAAGUGGAAUUCCGGGUGUAGUGGUGAAAUGCGUAGAUAUCCGGAGGAACACCAGUGGCGAAGGCGGCUUCCUGGACCAAUACUGACGAUCAGGUGCGAAAGCGUGGGGAGCAAACAGG
rnacentral:rRNA from 1 species